rnacentral:rRNA from 1 species
GUUGGGUAGGGGAGCGUUCUGUAAGCCUGCGAAGGUGGCCUGUGAGGGUUGCUGGAGGUAUCAGAAGUGCGAAUGCUGACAUAAGUAACGAUAAAGCGGGUGAAAAGCCCGCUCGCCGGAAGACCAAGGGUUCCUGUCCAACGUUAAUCGGGGCAGGGUGAGUCGACCCCUAAGGCGAGGCCGAAAGGCGUAGUCGAUGGGAAACGGGUUAAUAUUCCCGUACUUGGUGUUACUGCGAAGGGGGGACGGAGAAGGCUAUGUUGGCCGGGCGACGGUUGUCCCGGUUUAAGCGUGUAGGUGUGUGUUCCAGGUAAAUCCGGUUCACUUUAACACUGAGGCGUGAUGACGAGGCACUACGGUGCUGAAGCAACAAAUGCCCUGCUUCCAGGAAAAGCCUCUAAGCAUCAGGUAACAUCAAAUCGUACCCCAAACCGACACAGGUGGUCAGGUAGAGAAUACCAAGGCGCUUGAGAGAACUCGGGUGAAGGAACUAGGCAAAAUGGUGCCGUAACUUCGGGAGAAGGCACGCUGACACGUAGGUGAAGUGAUUUACUCAUGGAGCUGAAGUCAGUCGAAGAUACCAGCUGGCUGCAACUGUUUAUUAAAAACACAGCACUGUGCAAACACGAAAGUGGACGUAUACGGUGUGACGCCUGCCCGGUGCCGGAAGGUUAAUUGAUGGGGUCAGCGCAAGCGAAGCUCCUGAUCGAAGCCCCGGUAAACGGCGGCCGUAACUAUAACGGUCCUAAGGUAGCGAAAUUCCUUGUCGGGUAAGUUCCGACCUGCACGAAUGGCGUAAUGAUGGCCAGGCUGUCUCCACCCGAGACUCAGUGAAAUUGAACUCGCUGUGAAGAUGCAGUGUACCCGCGGCAAGACGGAAAGACCCCGUGAACCUUUACUAUAGCUUGACACUGAACAUUGAGCCUUGAUGUGUAGGAUAGGUGGGAGGCUUUGAAGCGUGGACGCCAGUCUGCGUGGAGCCGACCUUGAAAUACCACCCUUUAAUGUUUGAUGUUCUAACGUGGACCCGUAAUCCGGGUUGCGGACAGUGUCUGGUGGGUAGUUUGACUGGGGCGGUCUCCUCCUAAAGAGUAACGGAGGAGCACGAAGGUUGGCUAAUCCUGGUCGGACAUCAGGAGGUUAGUGCAAUGGCAUAAGCCAGCUUGACUGCGAGCGUGACGGCGCGAGCAGGUGCGAAAGCAGGUCAUAGUGAUCCGGUGGUUCUGAAUGGAAGGGCCAUCGCUCAACGGAUAAAAGGUACUCCGGGGAUAACAGGCUGAUACCGCCCAAGAGUUCAUAUCGACGGCGGUGUUUGGCACCUCGAUGUCGGCUCAUCACAUCCUGGGGCUGAAGUAGGUCCCAAGGGUAUGGCUGUUCGCCAUUUAAAGUGGUACGCGAGCUGGGUUUAGAACGUCGUGAGACAGUUCGGUCCCUAUCUGCCGUGGGCGCUGGAGAACUGAGGGGGGCUGCUCCUAGUACGAGAGGACCGGAGUGGACGCAUCACUGGUGUUCGGGUUGUCAUGCCAAUGGCACUGCCCGGUAGCUAAAUGCG